AAGAAUCUCAGGAGAGAAUCUGAUUGGCUGAACUCUUUUGUCCUUGUUUAAGGGAGGGGCAGUAUUUUGAUUGACAGGUCCUUCCUCCGUGUGUGUGUGUGUGUGUGUGUGUGUGUGUGUGUGUGUGUGUGUGCGCGCGCGCGCACACACACACACACACACACACACACACACACACACAUGAGUAGGCACCCACACUGAAGCCACUGCCCAUGAACAGGAAGAUGAACAGUCCCCGGAAGCAAAGGAAGAUUCUAGAAAGCACUCCAUUCCUUAAAGACUUCUGGGGAUUAGCAUGCUACCCGUUGACUUCCAACCUCUGCCUUUACAUCCCUCUGGUAAGUGUGUGUGAGGAAAGUUAGUUAAUUCCACGGCUGUGCACAGCUGGCCGUGACUCAACCAUCAAAACCAUGUCUAUAAAUGUAGGAGCCGGGCUGGCAAGGGUCCAGAACAGCCAGGGCAGGGUUUACUCUCAGUGCCCAAUGUGAUCUCCAACUGGAGAUGUGUGCUAGACCACUGACCAGAUAAAGCACUAAUGAAUGAGAUGAGGGAAUAGGACAGAUCGCCAAAGUACUAUGGAUAGCUAGCGGACGGCUGAUUACGCUCGCUCUAGCUGCCAAUCUUCUCCGUCUGGAAUAAGCCACGCCCACAGGAGCCAAACAGCUACACCACGCCCAUCUUUGUACUAAAGGCAGGCACCGCCCCUCAAACAGCACUCAGCUGCCCUGGCCAUCAGGGGGCUCCACUAUGCUCUGAGAUGAAGGAUGGGACCUAGGACCUUCAGACCCGCACUGAACUCCUAAGACCAAGGACAGUUGGCUUCUUGCAAAAGGAUCUCUGUUCUUCCGAAAGCCCACAGAGCUUCUCGGGAUCUGUUUUCUGCGAAAUCAGGGGUCAGUAUGCGCAUCUCAGUCCCUUAGAAGACUAAUAUACCCGUUUACCAUCAAUGAAAUUAAAAAAAAAAAAAAAAAACCUCUCCUGCUCACACGACUGCACCCUGUCACUUUUCCCACAGGCGUGGCGCACACAAAUCAAAUCAAAACAGAAAUCAUCAUGCCCUGUUAUGGAUCUCAGACACAGUUUCUUUUAAUAAAAUAUGCAAAUACUUUGCAGUAAAUUGAUUUCCCAGUUUCAUUCUCUUAUCUACAUAUUUAUUAUUCAUGCCUCCUCCACUCCUCCUUGAAGCAGAGAAGUGUGUGUGGGGGGGGAUGGGACAGAUCUCAAAGGCUGAAUUUCCUUGCUUUCUUACUUAGUUAAACUGGCACAAAAUGUUAUGUUUCCAGGAAUUAAAGAUACCUGUAAAAAUCACUUUCUGUCUCAAGUGGACUAAGGACAGAAGGCAAGAACGUUCUCCUUGAUUUUAUUCUGUGCACUGAAUAUCCUAGACAGCACGACGUGUCUUGGUGAAGGAAACUGAUGAAGAUUUAAGCUAGAGUUUCUUGUACUUUUUCCAGCUGUGACUAUUUUUUUUAACACAAGAAAUUUAACGUUGGGGUCAGUGAGAUGGGUCAGAGUGUAAAAGCACCUGCUAUAAAGCCUGAUGACUGACAUCUGAUCCCUGGGACCCACAGUGGAAAGACAGACCUCACUGUGGAUGCGUCUACCCUGCCGCUGCUACUGCCACCACCACCGCCGCCCCCGCCACCACCACCACCACCACCACCAUCCUCAGCUGACACAGGAACUCCACUUCCUCAGCCUUCCACUAUAGAAGACCAGGGGCUCUCGAGGAACUCACCAGGCCUCCAAUACCAGAUAAGAACUGCUGGGGCAUCCAGCCUCGAGGACAGAACAACCACUGGUUCUCAGCCUCUGAUAUGAUGACAGCCACUGUUGGACUAUACUAUAUCAUGGAAGCCAAUCUAAUAAACCCCCUCUUGAUAUAUAUUCA
ensembl:lncRNA